AGCCAGGUGCCCGUGGCCUCCCUGCCCACCUGGGCACACCCGUGUCCUUUCCCACGGGACACAGGCGUGGGCUCACCAGGCUCUGCCUCCUGGUGGUCAAACCCCCACUGUGACCCCACUGCUGUUACACCCAACAGUCCCAGGCAUUCCCAGGGGAACAUUCCCUGGAAUACCACAAGCCCUGAGCAGAACAUCACGAGGUCACUCCACAAACCCGCCGACACGACACGGUGCUGCUGUGCAGGCCUUCUCCACCCACAGAGCAAACAACAAUCAAGGAACAACGGGCCCUUGUUCCACCCCCCCCUUCAAACCCACUGUCCAACGGGUCCUUCCAACAGCCACAGGCUCAUCCUGCUUCUGCUCCUCCCCUCGGGGCACAGGAGCAGCCUGGCCCCGUGCUGGGAGCAGUUCCUGCCAUUGAGGUCUCGUGCCUUUGAUGUGGGGCUUUGAGCUGGGCUGGUCCCUGCAGGGCAGGCAGGAUCCUCACGGAUCCUUCUGGAGCAGUUUUGGGGCCAACAUCUUGUUUUGCUCCACACACAGACACCCUGUGGGCUGGUGGUGACACCGGGAGCCCUUCACCUGCUCACCCUGACCCCUUAGUCCAGCCCCUCCAGGUGAUGUCCCACUGGGAGCCCCAGGCACAACACCCCAAACUGGCACAGACAGCCCAUCGUCCCAGCAAAGGUAACUGGUGAACUGGGUGGUGACUGGUGCUGGGGUAAUGGUUGGACGGGAUGAUCUCAGAGAGCUUUUCCAGCCUUGAUUCCCCAAUUCCACUCCCUUGACCAUAUUCCAGGUGUCCCCUGGCACUGGCACCACCAGGGUUGGGACCUGGAAAAUCUUUUCCUUUGCACAGACCUGGGGGGGUCCCUGUGGGGAGCAGCACAGGGUCCAUCCCUAUGGGAUUCCUCCCCCCUCCCUCUGCCCCACUCCUACCCAUGACCUGAGAGGACAAAGCCAGCAGUGACCUCUGCUCCGGUUGCACGAGGACAGGUCACCUGCCCACAUCUGAACAGAAACACACGGAAACAACUCCCUGGCAGGGAGGAGCAGCUUCCUCCCAGCCUGCUCAGGAGCAGCUCUCUUCCCAGCCUGCCCAACUCCUGGAUUUGGGAGCCGAGCGUGGGACAGGCGGCUGACGCACACCUGAGACUGCGAGAACUUUCACCACCUGUAAUAAACCACGCGCGUCCAACCCACAACAACACGGGGCCGUUAUUCCACCACCGGCUGCACCGUCCCGCUCUCCCACACCUCGGGAGCUCGUCCGAGGGCUCCCCUGCCCGUGGCCGAGCCUCCUCCCAGCGCGGGGAGGGCCGGAACCCCUCCCGAGCGCACCUUCACCCACAGCCACGCGCGGACCUCGGCCGGGAGCGCAGAGCCCCGCCCGGACACAGCGACAUUCCCUGAACUGCUCCGGGAACGGGGAGAGCAGAGCCCCGUCCGGACACAGCGACAUUCCCUGAACUGCUCCGGGAACGGGGAGAGCAGAGCCCUGCCCGGACACAGCGACAUUCCCUGAAGUGCCCCGGGAACGGGGAGAGCAGAGCCCUGCCCGGACACAGCGACAUUCCCUGAACUGCUCCGGGAACGGGGAGAGCAGAGCCCCGCCCGGACACAGCGACAUUCCCUGAACUGCUCCGGGAACGGGGAGAGCAGAGCCCUGCCCGGACACAGCGACAUUCCCUGAAGUGCCCCGGGAACGGGGAGAGCAGAGCCCUGCCCGGACACAGCGACGUUCCCUGAAGUGCCCCGGGAGGCUCCGGCACGGGCCGGACUCACCGUCCGCACCGGGAGGCUCCGGAGCUGGGAGCGGGGACACCGGAUGGGGGAUCUGCAGGGACAAGGACACGUGUCCGGGAACCUCCGCCCGGGCAGGACGAGCUCCAUGGGAUCUCAGAGAUUCAAGGGUUCCAUGGCGGGGAUCCCGGGGCUCUGUGACUGUGAUCCCAGAGGUCCCAGGGCUCCAUGGGUAAUCCCAGGGUUCCAU
rnacentral:lncRNA from 1 species